GACGAACGCUGGCGGCGUGCCUAAUACAUGCAAGUCGAGCGCAGGAAACCGUCUGAACCCUUCGGGGGGACGACGGUGGAAUGAGCGGCGGACGGGUGAGUAACACGUAAAGAACCUGCCCACGGGUCUGGGAUAACCACGAGAAAUCGGGGCUAAUACCGGACGGGUCAUCGGACCGCAUGGUCCGAGGAUGAAAGGCGCUCCGGCGUCGCCCGUGGAUGGCUUUGCGGUGCAUUAGCUAGUUGGUGGGGUAAUGGCCCACCAAGGCGACGAUGCAUAGACGACCUGAGAGGGUGAUCGGCCACACUGGGACUGAGACACGGCCCAGACUCCUACGUGAGGCAGCAGUAGGGAAUCUUCCACAAUGGACGAAAGUCUGAUGGAGCAACGCCGCGUGAACGAUGAAGGCUCUCGGGUCGUAAAGUUCUGUUGUAAGGGAAGAACAAGUGCCGCAGGCAAUGGCGGCACCUUGACGGUACCUUGCGAGAAAGCCACGGCUAACUACGUGCCAGCCGCCGCGGUAA
rnacentral:rRNA from 1 species